GAAAACUUGACAUCUUCAUCUAGGAAAGCGACCAAUUUUACCCUGCUUUUCUCAACUGCCUUAAGAAGCUUAUUCAAGGAAUGGAGACGACGUCUAUAACCAUGGCUACAGGCUACCAGGUCAAAAUCAGCACUAUUAUCGACGAAACGCAGAAAUGCCAUCCGAUGAACAUGCCAAAGGACGAAGCCUACCUGCUCGGAAUGUUGGCAUGGUUCGGCGACUUCGUAAAAGCAUGAAGCACGAUGCACACCUCCACGACACUUCGAAAACAAGAAUCAAGCAAACACGGACUGAUUAUCUUGUACUUGACCUA